UGGCGGGGGGGCCUAAAACAUGGCAAGUCGAGCGGUACAUUUCUAGCUUGCUAGAAGAUGACGAUUGUCGAAAGGGUGAGUAAUGCUUGGGAAUAUGCCUUAGGGUGGGGGACAACAGUUGGAAACGACUGCUAAUACCGCAUAACGUCUACGGACCAAAGGGGGCUUCGGCUCUCGCCCUUAGAUUAGCCCAAGUGGGAUUAGCUAGUUGGUGAGGCAAUGGCUCACCAAGGCGACGAUCCCUAGCUGGUUUGAGAGGAUGAUCAGCCACACUGGAACUGAGACACGGUCCAGACUCCUACGGGAGGCAGCAGUGGGGAAUAUUGCACAAUGGGCGCAAGCCUGAUGCAGCCAUGCCGCGUGUGUGAAGAAGGCCUUAGGGUUGUAAAGCACUUUCAGUAAGGAGGAAAGGUUAGU
rnacentral:rRNA from 1 species